AAGGGAAAAGAUAAAGGGAGGAAAUGUCGACAAUUUCCCUAAAUUCCACAAGAAUUAGGGUUUCGAUUUGAACAAUUUCAACAAGGAAUCAAGCCAUUUUCUUAGAGUCUGUAUAAUGUGUAGAUUGGUUGCUGGUGAAGACGAUUCUGGUGGUGAAGUAGAUCACCAUCAAAGCACCGUAAAUGAAAAUGUGCGCAUGGAUCCACAGAUCCAAAUGCAAAUUGCACGUUUGGAAGCAAGGAUAAGUCGGGUUGAAGCUCGGAUGGAAAGGCUUGAGGUUAGCGUUCUAUAUAUGCAAAGGCGAAUGUAUCUGUAUGGUUUUGUGUGUCUGAUUUCUGUUUUGUAUGCCAUAUUCAAAUGACAAGUUGAUCAUCACAUCUCGUGUUCGUAGUAUAUUGUACAAAGGUAGACGAACAAAAUCGAUCAAUGUGGAUAAACUAUUAGUUUUAUCACAGAAAACCCGAGAUUCGGAUGUGUGUUUCUCUCUUUCUUUUUUGAAAUGAUAAAGACUCACGUACUGCU